rnacentral:piRNA from 1 species
AGAGAAGCUGAACAGCCUGCAAUAG